AGCGAACGCUGGCGGCAGGCCUAACACAUGCAAGUCGAACGAAGUCUUCGGACUUAGUGGCGGACGGGUGAGUAACACGUGGGAACGUGCCUUUAGGUUCGGAAUAACUCAGGGAAACUUGUGCUAAUACCGAAUGUGCCCUUCGGGGGAAAGAUUUAUCGCCUUUAGAGCGGCCCGCGUCUGAUUAGCUAGUUGGUGAGGUAAAGGCUCACCAAGGCUACGAUCAGUAGCUGGUCUGAGAGGAUGACCAGCCACAUUGGGACUGAGACACGGCCCAAACUCCUACGGGAGGCAGCAGUGGGGAAUCUUGCGCAAUGGGCGAAAGCCUGACGCAGCCAUGCCGCGUGGAUGAUGAAGGUCUUAGGAUUGUAAAAUCCUUUCACCGGUGAAGGUAAUGACUGUAGCCGGAGAAGAAGCCCCGGCUAACUUCGUGCCAGCAGCCGCCGUAAAAC
rnacentral:rRNA from 1 species